rnacentral:pre_miRNA from 1 species
GGUGGAGUAUUCCAAAGGGAUCGCAUUGAUCCUGUGUCCCAAUUUGAGUCCAAUGGGAUCAUGCGAUCUCUUCGGAUUUCUCCAU